UGGUGACCUCAGAGCCAGGACACAGUUCAGAGGCAUCUACACUAUGACUUUGUUCUUUUCCCAGUUCUCUGCAGCCUGGACUGAGGGAGGCUCUGGUGUUGGUGGG